CAGCUUUUUAGAGUGUGAUUAUGUGGAUUGUGAGGAGUUUAAUCACCCUCAUGUUUUACGUAUUCGUGCUCUUGGGUGUACUUGCCCGUGUGGUAGGUUAACAUCAAUUUUGGUCGUCAUAAAAUGACUGGAGGAAUGUAGCUUUGGUCUCGUAUCGAAGUGUUAUAGACUCUGGUAGAUGUGACGAUUGGGAUUGAGGAUUGCAACGGAUACCCUUCGGGGCUACUCGUCUGAUCUCUGAAGGUUGCUCCGGUGCCGAAAGCGUGCUUACGGUCAUCGAAAGUGAUUUUCAAAAGGUUAGAACGGGUUAAAUUCGUUAAGGAUGUUGACGUA
rnacentral:rRNA from 1 species